AUGUAUCACUCGAUGAUGAUGAUGAUGAUGAUGAUGAUGAUGAUGAUGAUGAUGAUGAUGAUGAUGAUGAUGAUGAUGAUGAUGAUGAUGAUGAUGAUGAUGAUGAAAUUCCCCUGCUUGAAUUUACAAUGCCUUGCUUCAGAAAAGGGGUUUACAUUGCCCUCAGAUUCCAAACUGUCUGUUCGUUUCAGAUUCUUUCGGAAUAGUAUUGCUUCAAGUUGUUCGCGAUUAGAUGCUUCGAUGGGCAGAAUCCACAUCGCAUCAAGACCAAGUAGGCCUGGAGAGCACGAAGUCACCCAGAGUGAUAAACAGACAAGUCGGGGUAUUGGAAGUAAACCACUGCUCGUGUCAUCGACUUGA
rnacentral:rRNA from 1 species